rnacentral:tRNA from 1 species
GCAUCAGUGGUUUAGUGGUAAAAUCCAUCGUUGCCAUUCUUCAACUUCGAUGGGCCCCGCGUUCGAUUCGCGGCUGAUGCA